rnacentral:rRNA from 1 species
AUACGUAGGGGGCAAGCGUUAUCCGGAUUUACUGGGUGUAAAGGGAGCGUAGACGGAAGGCUAAGUCUGUUGUGAAAGCCCGCGGCUCAACUGCGGGACUGCAUUGGAAACUGGUCAUCUGGAGUGCAGGAGGGGAAAGCGGAAUUCCUAGUGUAGCGGUGAAAUGCGUAGAGAUCGGGAGGAACACCAGUGGCGAAGGCGGGUAACUGGACUGCAACUGACGCUGAGGCGCGAAAGUGUGGGGAGCAAACAGGAUUAGAUACCCUGGUAGUCCACACUGUAAACGAUGAAUGCUAGGUGUAAGAGGUAUCGACCCCUUUUGUGCCGGAGUCAACACAAUAAGCAUUCCGCCUGGGGAGUACGGCCGCAAGGUUGAAACUCAAAGGAAUUGACGGGG